rnacentral:rRNA from 1 species
AUUGAACGCUGGCGGCAUGCCUUACACAUGCAAGUCGAACGGCAGCAUGAUCUAGCUUGCUAGAUUGAUGGCGAGUGGCGAACGGGUGAGUAAUACAUCGGAACGUGCCCUGUAGUGGGGGAUAACUAGUCGAAAGAUUAGCUAAUACCGCAUACGACCUGAGGGUGAAAGUGGGGGACCGCAAGGCCUCAUGCUAUAGGAGCGGCCGAUGUCUGAUUAGCUAGUUGGUGAGGUAAAGGCUCACCAAGGCGACGAUCAGUAGCUGGUCUGAGAGGACGAUCACCCACCGGGGGACAGAGACACGCCCGAGCCCCAGAGGGGGGGCAGGAGGGGGAAUUUUUGAAAAGGGGGAGAAAGCUGGACCCAGCAAGGCGGGGGGUGGAAAGAGGCCUUUCGGGUUGAAAAGCAUUUUUGCCGGAAAAGAAAUGGCUGUGUUAAAUACGGGGGGUCGAGGGGGGAACGGAAAGAAAAAGGCCCGCCAAACUGCGU